rnacentral:lncRNA from 1 species
CGCUCUUGAAAAAAAAUCACCUCUACCUUUUGGCAUGUGGAAAGUGAGAUGCCUAACCCUUGGGCAUAAAAGAGAAGAGAGGGAGGAGGGGAGGCAUGGAGAAGGGAGAGGGAGACUUUUUAUUUCACAAAAUUCUUCUUCUUAGAAACCCUAGAGACCUUCUAUUUAUAUAAGCUCUACCUUGACUCAUAAGAGGAAUCCAAUUAUCUUAAAAAUGUACAUCCUUAUCUCAUAAGAAUACUCUAUCUUUUUAAUUUAUUUUUUUUUAAUAAAAUCAAAUAUAAUUGACAUAUUAUCAGCCCCUUU